CUGAUUGGACAAUUUCCAUUAUUCUAUCUUCUUGAUCACAUAUACAUUCUUCUGUAUCAUUUAUUCUGCUGUAAAUUCAUUCUAGUUUGUUUUUCAUUUCAGUUAUUGUAUUCUUCAAUUCUAACUGGUUCUUUUUUAUAUUUUCUAUUUCCUUGUUAAAAUUCUCACACUGUUCAUGUAUUCUUUUCCCAAGUUCAAUUAGUAGUCUUAUUAUUAAUGCUUUUAAUUCUUUAUCUGGUAAAUUAUUUAUCUCUGUUUCAUUAGGUGCUUUUCCAGGGUUUUUUCUUGUUCUUUUAUUUAAAACAUGUUCCUCUGUCUUUACAUUUUGUUUAACUUCCUCUGUCUCUAUGACAUUAGAUUAAACAUUUACCUAUCCCAUUUGGAAAGUUAUCCCUAUAUAGGAGCAUCCCUAUGCAUUUCUGCAUAUGCCCAGUGGCUUUAGUGGGAGAGUCAGAUCUGAUAUAAGCAAGAUUCAUGUUUUCCUCUGGGAUGUGCUGACAGUUCCCAUCUAUGUGAGAGGUUGGGUUGGAGACGGAGGGGCCAGAGCCAGAGAAGAUGCGAACCAAGUCUUCUCCUAUGCCCACUGGCCAUCUCUGCCAUAUUGGAGGUGGAGUCAAAACCCAAGUGCCAGAUUAGAAGCCCUGAGAUUCUGGUUUGAGUUGGCUGCAUUUCUUCUAAGAAUGUGAUCUCACCACUCCUGGCAACAGCACCUUCAACCCAGAGGGGAGCAACACUGAAGCAAGAGGGGCCAGAGUGGAUGCUUAACUGGGACAGCACAUGCACUGGGACAGUUUUAGCAUGUUAGUCAGAGUUCCAUAUUGCUCCUGAUUUGCCACCACCAUGAACAUCAGAAAUGACUGCCCUUUCCCAGUUGAGAUGCAGUGCUGAGUUCAAGCCUGCUCUGUCAUUCAAAAGUGUGCAGUAUCAUUCAAAAAUGUGCAGUAUCUUCAACAAGUGCAGCCUUCACCCAAGUGGGGAGCUGUGCAAGACCUAGAGAGAUCAAAGCAGGUGCUCAGCAUGGGCCAGUGGGUGCACUAAAACAAUGCUGUUAUGUCAGGCAGAAUUCCAUUCCACCCUUGCCCUCUUCAGAUGCAGUACUGAGUUCAAGCCCCCAUAACUGUGAACUCUUUUUAUCAGUGGCAGCCUUCAUACUAGUAAAGAGCUUCUCUGGAGCAAGAGUGGCCAGGGUGCAUGUUGGGACAGCUUUGGGAAACUGGCCAGAGCCCAGGCAGUUUCAUUCUACUUCCUCCACCUUAUUCCUGGGGGUAAACAAAUGUGUAGGUGCCCUCCAGGAGCAGAGUCUCAGUUUCUUCAGCCCUAUAAGUCUUACUGGUUUUCAAACCACCUAAGGGGACUUGUCUUCCUGGGGUCAGACCCCAGGGUUAGGGUGCUUAAAUCCUUAACUCCCCAAGGAGGAUCUUCAAGCCUAUAAAUCCCCCCCUCUUCUGUGUCCCCUCCUAGGGGAACAGAGCCCACACUGACUGCAUCUCCUCCCUUCCUACCCAGAGUUGGCUGUGUGGCUCUUUCUUUACAGCCUUCAUUGUAGAAGUCUUUCUGCCAGUCUCCAGUUUUUUUUCAGUGAUUGUUGCCCCACAUGUAAGUGUAUUUUUGAUGUUUGUUGGUGGAGGUGAGCUUUGCGUCCUCCUACUCCACCAUCUUGAUCUCUACCCCCUGGCUAAAUUUAUUUUGACAGGCAUGAACCCACUCUGUUUCCAAACGGUAAAUAUAAUUUUGCACUGCCUCAUGACCCUUGAUUUCAUAUAUAUCUGUGACAGAGCUGCCUUCAAAAACUGUAGACUUGCUUUUGUUACAUAUUGCUUUUCACUGUGCACUGUACUCACACUAUGGAACUCAGUGAAAUAAUGGUCUAAAAAUAAGUACAAGCUAAUUUGAUUUUUUUUCUCUACUUGAAUUCAGGUAAUAAGUGGUAAAUGGGAAUAAAAAAUCCACUAAAAUAUUUUCUUUAUCUUCAUAAAUAAUAUACUAUGUAUCUGCUUGGAAAUUUUCCUUAGUGAUCAUGAUUGCUUUUAUUGAACAUCUAAGAUAAACAAGUUUUUUAAAAUUUCUAAACAUAGUUAUCAUUAGAAAUAUGACUAAGACCCACAGUCUUUUAUUGCAGAAAAUUGAUACCUCAAAUUGUUUUAAGGAGCAAGCACCAUUUGAGGUGCAUAUGAUCAUGGUGACUCAUCCAUUAUACUUUUUCUAAAUGUAUAUUUUACUUUUUCCUCCCCCUGCCUUUUCAUUCAUAGUAUUUAUGAUGCAUAAUUGUGAAUGUUCUGAGAGUACCACAAAAAAGUUAGCAUCACAUUCUUCAAGUUAGAAUGACAGACCAUGUGACCUAGAUAUUAUUUUUCUAAUGAUUUCAUAAGUCAAGUUACUGCUAGGGGAUAAAAAAAAGUUGUUGAUUUAUAAAGUAGAGAUAUUCUGAAUCUACAGCCCUCUUUUGAUGAUGUACUGAGUUAAAAUUGCCCAGCACCCCUUGUGCCCAUCACAAUAACCAUAAGCAGUCCAGUCUAAGACAGCUAGAAUGAGUCCUGAACAUCUUGGGUGGGACAGAGAUUUCCCCAGGGGCACAUGGGCAUGAAAUUUUUUAGAGAAUCACUUUCCAGAGCCUUAGCUUUUCUUUGUACAUGUUCCUAAAACUUAUUUUCCUGAGAAUGUACCUGUGGUCAUGGUACCUUGAUGAUUGUUUUCCCUCUUCCCUGUACACAGUAAACUUCUUCUUUCAGUCUGUAAGUCAUCACUCUCACUCAUUCAGAAUCAUACUAAUCUUUUACUUAACUCUGGUAUAAAAACCAGAGUUAAGAUGAUUUGAAGUAUGGGGAUCCAAAAACCAUCUUUAAUUGAGCCCCCACAGAAUCAAAGUAAAUCUCAUUGUUUUCUCCCAGUCUCUUUCCCAAAAGGGUAAAAUGUGGCAUUUGAAAUAGGGCAUCUGGGGAGUUUCCAUCGUGGCUCAGAAGUAAUGAAUCCUACUAGUAUCCAUGAGGAUGCAAGUUUGAUCCCUGACCUUGCUGAGUAGGUUAGGGAUCCAGCUUUGGUGUGAGCUGUGGUGUAGGUCACAGAAGUGGCUUGGGUCCCACAUUGCUGUGGCUGUGGCAUAGGCUGGCAGCUGCAACUCCAAUCGACCCCUAGCCUGGGAACUUCCAUAUGCCACAAGUACAGCCCUAAAAGAAAAGAAAGAAAGAAAGAAAGAAAGAGAGAGAGAGAGAGAGAGGGAAGAAAAGAAAGAAAGAAAGAAAGAAAGAAAGAAAGAAAGAAAGAAAGAAAGAAAGAAAGAAAGAAAGAAAGAAAGAAAGAAAGGAAGGAAGGAAGGAAGGAAGGAAGGAAGGAAGGAAGGAAGGAAGGAAAGGCAAGGCAAGACAAGACAUAGUGCAUUUAGCCUGUAUUUGGCAUGUUCUAAAUUCAGAAGGGAAAUAUUCUCAUGGGAAUAGGUAUCACAGGUUUAUUUGAAUUAAAAAGACAAUUUGAGAAAGAAAACAUAUCUGAUUUGCAGUUGGUUCAAUAAUGAAGACUGGCUUUGUCAAUUAAGCUGGUAGGUAUCUUUCAUAAAUGGAAUGAGUUAAAUUUCCACAUUUUGAUGAAAAUAUUUAAAACAUAAUAAUUGUAUAUAUACAAAACAUAAUAAACAUAAAGUAUUUAUUUAAAAUAUUGAAAUUGUUAUUUGGCACUAUUUCCAUUUUAUAAUCCGUUCUGAGUUUAUUAGAUUAAUCAAGGUGUUGCUACAUGAACAACAAUAACAAAUAGCUGUAAAAACUGUAAACCCUUGUUAGGUAUUUCACAGAAACUAGGCAAAUGAAUGAUUCUCACAACAGAGUUACAAAUCACCUUAUGUCAGGCGAGUACCAGCUAUUUGCUUUCUAUAAAGAAAUUGAGUUGUCAGCUGUUACCACAUCAAAAAUGAUUUGCAAUGACAAAUCACUAUGUGAGUUUUGGCAUUCUGAAAGGAGUUCAAAGAACUGAAUCAACUAUAUUCUAAUAAAAUUUUUUUAAAUUCUGUGCUGAGUCAUUGCUAGAACAUAAUCCCCCCAUUCUUAGAUACAUGAACAACUGGUAAAGAAAAAACUGGAAAUAUUAUUGAUGCUACCCACUAUUUUGUUCUAGAAAUAGGUAACAUUCACCCACAGAUACAAAAGCAACAGUCCCUAAAGUACAUUUUUAAUUUUAAUAUUUAUCUGUCAAAAUUUAUAAUGUUGUGUAUUCAUGUGCAUGUGUGAUUUGAUAAAAUCUGUAUCAAUAAAAAAAGUAAUGAUACCCCAAAUUAAAGUUUUAAUGCUUUAAGCCUUACAGCUAAAGGAAAUUAAAUUUUUUUAAAUUUAUAUACAUAUUUAUGAUGUCAAGAGAUGAAACAAUUAAUAAGAGAUUUUCCAGCAUAUAUAUUAAAGCAAGCUAAAAUGCUUUGGGAGCAGUGGGACGCAAAUAUAUCUUUCAAGAGAAAAGGAAAAAUAUAAAAUAUCCCAGCCAUUAAGAAAGAGCUUCUUCAUGUUUGUAUAAGUGGAAGAUGAUGGAGUUUCUUAACACUAUGGCAUUUAGAGUCCACUGGGUACAUUUAAUACAGUGAUAUUAAAGUUUCAUGUUUAAAUGUCAGAUAAUCAAUGAACUAAAAUCCUUUUUAUUUAAAAUUAUGAUGCAAUUUUUUCUUUUCUUUUUUGGCCAUGCCCGCAGCAUGAAUGAGUUCCUGAGCCAGGGAUCGAACCUGUGCCACAGCAGCUACCCAAGUCACUAAAGUGACAAUCCUGGAUCUUUAACCCACUGCACCACAAGGGUACUCCUAAGAUGCAAAUUUAAAUGUCAACCUAAAAGAUGAGAGAGGAUACAUAGUUUUUAAAACUUCUUUGGAAUUCCUGUCAUGGCACAGCGGAAAUGAAUCUGACUAGGAUCUAUGAGAAUGCAGGUUCGAGCCUCACCUUGCUCAGUGGGUUAAGGAUCCAGCUUUGCCACGAGCUCGAAUCUGGCGUGGCUGUGGCUGUGGUGUAGGCCAGAAGCUGCAGCUCUGAUUCGACCCUUAGCCUGGGGACAUCCAUAUGCCAUGGUUGUGGCC
rnacentral:lncRNA from 1 species